UGCGGGGUGGUGUAACGGUAGUCACGUCUCCCUUUGGAGGAGAAAAUGAAGGUUCGAUUCCUUCCCCCGCAG
rnacentral:tRNA from 1 species